rnacentral:rRNA from 1 species
AUUGAACGCUGGCGGCAGGCCUAACACAUGCAAGUCGAACGAGUGGCGGACGGGUGAGUAAUGUCUGGGAAACUGCCUGAUGGAGGGGGAUAACUACUGGAAACGGUAGCUAAUACCGCAUACCAUCGGAUGUGCCCAGAUGGGAUUAGCUAGUAGGUGGGGUAAAGGCUCACCUAGGCGACGAUCCCUAGCGGGUCUGAGCGGAUGACCGGCAACACGGGAACUGAGACAGGGCCCAGACGCCGACGGGAGGCAGCAGUGGGGAAUAUUGCACAAUGGGGGCAAGCCGGAUGCAGCCAUGCCGCGUGUAUGAAGAAGGCCUUCGGGUUGUAAAGUACUUUCAGCGGGGAGGCGUUACCCGCAGAAGAAGCACCGGCUAACUCCGUGCCAGCAGCCGCGGUAAUAC